UGGGGAAUUUUGGACAAUGGGGGAAACCCUGAUCCAGCCAUCCCGCGUGUGCGAUGAAGGCCUUCGGGUUGUAAAGCACUUUUGGCAGGAAAGAAACGUCAUGGGUUAAUACCCCGUGAAACUGACGGAACCUGAAGAAUAAGCACCGGCCAACCACGUUCCAGCAGCCGCGGUAAUACGUAGGGUGCAAGCGUUAAUCGGAAUUACUGGGCGUAAAGCGUGCGCAGGCGGUUCGGAAAGAAAGAUGUGAAAUCCCAGAGCUAAACUUUGGAACUGCAUUUUUAACUACCGGGCUAGAGUGUGUCAGAGGGAGGUGGAAUUCCGCGUGUAGCAGUGAAAUGCGUAGAUAUGCGGAGGAACACCGAUGGCGAAGGCAGCCUCCUGGGAUAACACUGACGCUCAUGCACGAAAGCGUGGGGAGCAAACAGG
rnacentral:rRNA from 1 species